UACGUAGGGCGCAAGCGUUAUCCGGAAUUAUUGGGCGUAAAGAGCUCGUAGGCGGUUUGUCGCGUCUGCUGUGAAAACCCGAGGCUCAACCUCGGGCCUGCAGUGGGUACGGGCAGACUAGAGUGCGGUAGGGGAGAUCGGAAUUCCUGGUGUAGCGGUGAAAUGCGCAGAUAUCAGGAGGAACACCGGUGGCGAAGGCGGAUCUCUGGGCCGUAACUGACGCUGGAGGAGCGAAAGCAUGGGGAGCGAACAGG
rnacentral:rRNA from 1 species